rnacentral:rRNA from 1 species
GGCGCACGGGUGCGUAACGCGUAUGCAACCUACCUUCUACAGGGGGAUAGUCAAUAGAAAUGUUGAAUAAUACCCCAUACGAUCAUGAAUUGGCAUCAAUUUAUGAGGAAAGUUCCGGCGGUAGAAGAUGGGCAUGCGUCCUAUUAGUUAGUUGGUGAGGUAACGGCUCACCAAGACAUCGAUAGGUAGGGGUCCUGAGAGGGAGAUCCCCCACACUGGUACUGAGACACGGACCAGACUCCUACGGGAGGCAGCAGUGAGGAAUAUUGGACAAUGGAGGCAACUCUGAUCCAGCCAUGCCGCGUGCAGGAAGACGGCCCUAUGGGUUGUAAACUGCUUUUAUACAGGAAGAGACGCCUCCUCGUGAGGGGGUUUGACGGUACUGUACGAAUAAGGAUCGGCUAACUCCGUGCCAGCAGCCGCGGUAAUACGGAGGAUCCAAGCGUUAUCCGGAAUCAUUGGGUUUAAAGGGUCCGUAGGCGGUUUAAUAAGUCAGAGGUGAAAUCCUACAGCUCAACUGUAGAAUUGCCUUUGAUACUGUUAGACUUGAGUUAUUGUGAAGUAGUUAGAAUGUGUAGUGUAGCGGUGAAAUGCAUAGAUAUUACACAGAAUACCGAUUGCGAAAGCAGAUUACUAACAAUACACUGACGCUGAGGGACGAAAGCGUGGGUAGCGAACAGGAUUAGAUACCCUGGUAGUCCACGCCGU